CUGGAAGCUCUGGUCCCAUGUUCAAAGCACCCUUUGGAUUGCAUUCUUACCCAAAUACUCUCCGUGAUUGCCUGCUUUGCGGCUUUGGGGUUUCCUGUGCAGACACCAGCGUCUGAGAUCUUCAGUUGCUCUUCCAGAGAGCGAGG
rnacentral:lncRNA from 1 species